ensembl:lncRNA
GGGGGUGGUCCACCCAGGUCUUACCUAGUGUAUAUAGACAGAGGUUUAUCUACGGGUAGUAUGUAAACCCCAGGGUCUCUUACCUACACACUCCCAUUGUGCGGUCCCCUUUUCCCUGGGACAACGGAAGAAGCAAAAAAUAAAAAGUACAAACAACGUGAUAACCACAGACAGAAUAACAACAAUAACUUAACCUUCACCAGUUCACAUGACCCAAAUACAUAUGUAACCAAAAACACAAGAACUGUCACUUGAACCCAGCUCAAAACAAUAGUUCCUGCCAAAAAGUUAUUUUGUUGCAACAGUCCUUCGGCUCUCUCCAACAGCUCUGCCUCCCUGUCUCUCCCUCCCGACCUCGUUUUAAGCCACGGCAUCCUGCAGUUGAUUGGCUGUGGGUGAGGGUGAUUAGUGGCUGCAGGUGGGAGCGGGCAGUGGAGAUGACUGCAUGGUGGGUGUGUCAGAACACCUGUGGGAACACAAGUCAAAACACACACACACCCCCAAGCAGGCCGAGGCACGUAACACCCUGCUUCCUGCCACUACCGGGUGGCCGUCAUGAAAGCUGGGAGACCAACUGAGGCAUGAAUAAAUUACGCGUUGCGUAAAGGGAUUCUUCCUUCUUGAACUACCGCUUAAGCUCCAUUUGGUCAAACAUUGCUCAACCCAAAACAGGAAAAGAGACAGCUCUUUUGUAUUCCCCGAUAGCUUUCCCAGUUACCAAAAAGCACUAAUGAAUUACUAUAUCCGAUGGUACAACAACCAGAGUUACGCAAUAUUAUCUGUUUUAAGUUAUAACAAGUUAGGUUGAAUAAUUUUUUGGGGGAAACCAUGAUAUUCAGAACCAUAAUAUUUUUGGAACAAUAUUGUAGUCUACAGUUAAUAAAGCUGGCGAAGCACUCAGCAUUGCUUCACAAACGUGAAGAGCUGUAGAACAAGAGCAUAAACUGUGACCUGGGCAUGAAUCCUUCCUGGGGCAGGUGUGCACGGUAAAAGGACAUAACACACUGGCACAAGACAAGGGGAGACGCAGACUAUAAGUACACACGAGGGAAGUGUGGGAACAGGUGGACACGAUCAGGAAUCAGGGAAGACAAUUAGACUGGAACCUGAAACGAGAGGAGGGUUAAAUAUCAAAAUAAAACAGGAAGUCACAAAACAACCAUUGAGACGGGAGAGAAGCCCAACUUGACCUACAGGUGUGACAUAGUUUUUUUUUCUCUUUAAAACCUUUCUAGGACCAGGCCAUUCUUUGGCUCCUGCUUGAAUACUAGAAGACUAUAUAUCUACAACCAUUAGGUCCAUUUGAAAAUGAAGAAAAUACUUGUGGGAUUUUCUCCAGAUGUGUAAAUAUCAGUAUAUCUGUUGAAGGUUUAGACGUUUUUUGACCAUUUUGUGGCAAACUGUGACCUUUGCAUUUUGUCAUGUACCAAACAAUUUAUUUCACUUUUAUAUCACUAAUAGUGUUUAAUAUAUUGCAUACAUAGGAGCAAAUGAAAAUCAGACUUUUGACCGGUAGUUCGAGAGCUUUGCUUUCCGGCUCAGCUCUGUUUUCGUUACAACAGUGCGGUAAAGCGAGUGCAAUACCGCCCCAAUACCGCCCCCGCUACUCCGAUUCUCCGGCCAACUGAACCCUUCAAUUUUUUGAUCAUAGUUUAGGUUACCUCUGUGAAAAGUACUGCUUUAAGAGAGGGGCUGUGGAGAAUUGCUUUGUGAUUGCGUCAGCAACGUGGGGUGUUUCUAAGUUGAUUUAAAGCAGUACUUAUAUAUGUCAUAUCAAUAAUAGGGUUGCAUACAUGUCUAUGGCUCUCAACUCCGCAAUACCGCAUUUUGGUCAUUUGGCAAACACUUCAAACUAUAGCAUUGUAGGCUGUUACAUAAGUAAGGCGAAAUGUAGUACUCAUAAGAUAUUUAACAAACUUCAGCCACAUUAGAUUCACCCUGGACCCUUCAACCUCUUGGGCAGCGGUUCCCAAACUCAAGAAUGCCGCGGCCCACUUUGAAAUCUGAAAAUCUUUUGCGGCCCACCCAAACCUUUAAUCACAACUCUGACCAAAACAUAAUGAUUAAAUGACCUUAAGAAUUUAACCAAAAUCAAACAUUCGUGAGCAAAAGUCUGUCUCGCGCGAGCAAAAGUUUGUUACCGCGAGGUAUUUGCUCGCUUCGUUGCUCGUGAGGAGAAUCUCUGCUCGCGCUCGAAGGAGUUUUCUACGCGCUCGCUGUUGUUCUGUUUGACAGUGAGGUGCCGCUCAGCAUCUCGCCGUCGUAGACGAGCUUUGGCAUGUCUGGCAGAGCGCCUUGAGCGCCGUGUACAACCAGUAUGGAUCAACCGAUUAACCAAUUGAUCCAUAUAUAUAAAGCGCUCCGGAUUGUAAGACACUGACGUUUUUUGAGAAAAUUAAAGCCUUUUAAGUGCGCCUUGGAGUGCGGAAAAUGCGGUAUAUUGACUUUAAUACUACAAGAGGGCGCCCUGUUUGUUGAACAACGACAGGCGGACAAGAGCAGCCGUUUCGAGCGAGAGCCUUAUUGUUUUAUUAAUCUGUCGGUUUAAAUUGUUUGUGCUUCAUCAACUAAUUUUUCACAUAACUAAUGUGCCGCAUCAUAAAUAUUUUUAUAUUAAUUUCAAACUUUUAAAAAUUGAAAAUGAAAAAACGUUUUAUUUAUUGUAAAUGACCUCUCGCGGCCCACCUGCAGUACCUUCGCGGCCCACAUUUUGGGAAUCGCUGCUCUAGGGAUUCAACGAUACGAUUAUUUUAUCAAAUAAGUAAUAAGCAAUAUAAAACAACAAUAUUUAACCCUCAAACCAGUUGCUGGAAAAUACAAUAACGGUCAAAAUCAAAAGAGGUUUUCAUGUCUAGAUUUAAUUUAGGCAUAAAUAAUUAUUGCAAUCAUAAAGGCAGCACAGUUUUGUUAUUGAUGUUCUUCUGAGUGAAGCUAAAUGGAGUUGGCAAGGUCUAUUGCUAUAAUGCCUAAAGAUUUAGUCAGACAUUAGUUAUAUCUCAAUUCGUCGGCUGCAUCGUAGUGAGGACGCAUUCGUCGACCGCCUAAGUCACUUCGGCUGCUACUCAGUUGUCCCAAUCCGCCAGCUCCUCUGAACUUGGUCAAGGGACGCAGUCCUCCAGGCGCUGAUUUGGAGGACAAGUCUUAUGUAUGUGGCCCAGCAUAUCCCAUCGUGCAGUGGGGGCCAACGAGGAGUUCACUUAUUCAGGACUGAGGCCCGGGCCCCUCUGGGUCCAUGAGCUUUUUCUUAUGAACAUCAAUGUACCAACACAUUUAUAACAAAUAGCUCAAUGAGCAGCGCAUUAUCGGGAGCCGCUGAGCUGUUAACGCAUCCGCACGUAGUUAUUAGUGAAAAGCCACUUUAAUGCCUUGACUUUUACACUUUAGAGGUUGACUAAUAUCCUACUGAGGUUGUGACGGUUUUAUACUUCAUUUUAUUAAACAGAAAUGGAUGGAAUGGAAGUGAGCUCAAGUAGACAAGUUUGAUAUUUGAUCCUCUUUCCUCUAGGUAACCCGAUGUAUUAAUUUACCCUUGUUCUGUCACGAUAUGGGGAAGACAAGAUCCAAAGUGACUCUGUCCUCACAGUGCUACAAGAUAAGAUGGCAAACUAGCAGUUCCUCAUCUGAUCUCACUUCCUUUGGAAAAUAUCCUGAGGCCGAGCUGGCACUCUGGAUGUGUUUGAUAAUGACACGAGGAAAAGAGACAGCUAGGUGUGUGAGAGGAUUUGUUUUUGGCUCCUGUCUAGCACCUCUGCUAAUCCCAAGGCACUGAUGUUAGCAGAAGCUGCAGGGGGAGAGUUGCUAGGGGCAAAAUGCUGUUGCUGGGUGAGCGUAUCAAAAAACUAAACAGACGUGAUGGAAGUGUUGCACUUGUGUGUUGUAUUCCCGGUCUGAUCUCUGUGGCGGAAGCAAUAUGAAAAUAGAAUUAAUUUCCAUGGCAACUAUGACGUGAUAGUGAAACCUGAUUAGCAUGCUUUAAGUAGAAUGCCUAUCACUGUAACAUUGAUUCAAAGUAGCUAUUUUAGUGGCAACGGCAGGAGGAUUAAUCGUGAAGGACAUCAUACUAUAUUUACAUGCAUCCCAUAUACUGUUCAGCUAUGCCAUUGUGUUAAUGAUAUUUCUAAACGCAGUGUGCAGCACAAAAAUAUUUCUCCUUAUUAUUUAUUUAAUUCCAUUUUAACUCAUUUCUUUUACCCUCACAUUCUCUUUAAUUACUAAUCAGAGAGUGCAGGAAAGCUUUAUGUUUGUUUGGUUGCCAAGGGAACCUCAUUUUCAUCCGAGUUGUUUGGUUUCCUCUCCAAAGGUCAAUGACUUGUCUGAUUGAAUAUCACUUUCAUGCAAAUGAUCUGCUGAAGCAAGUUUUUCUCCUCAUCUGGGUGUCAAUGCUGUUGCAAAUGUGGAAUAAAAAACACCGUUUUCAUAUAAAGUACACCUUUCUCAAGCAGCACAGGAAUAUAGCUUUAUAUAUUAACAAUGGAACAUUGUUUUCAAUGAAAAAGCUUUACAAACCCCCCAAACAGAGGAUUAAGAAGCUUAAAGGAGAUAUAUCAUGCUCAUUUCAAGACUCAUACUUGUAAUUAGGUUUUUCACCUUCCAUGUAUUGUCUGCAUCAAUAUCCCUGUAGUCACUUCCCGUCGGAAACGCUCUCGUAGUAUUCACCCAGGUUAAGAAAACAGUUUGUUUCCAAAUUGUUCGCACAAACCCACACCUUUUUCCCAAUUCUUGCCGGGAUAUAGUCUUCAUAUAUUCUUGUGACUUCUAAUCCUGGGACACCAUGUAUAGAAUUGUGUGGAACUGCCGAACUACA